rnacentral:rRNA from 1 species
UUUAUUUGAGAGUUUGAUCCUGGCUCAGGAUGAACGCUGGCGGCGUGCCUAACACAUGCAAGUUGAGCGAUUUACUUCGGUAAAGAGCGGCGGACGGGUGAGUAACGCGUGGGUAACCUACCCUGUACACACGGAUAACAUACCGAAAGGUAUGCUAAUACGGGAUAAUAUAUUUGAGAGGCAUCUCUU